GACGAACGCUGGCGGCGUGCCUAAUACAUGCAAGUUGAGCGCUGAAGGUUGGUACUUGUACCAACUGGAUGAGCAGCGAACGGGUGAGUAACGCGUGGGGAAUCUGCCUUUGAGCGGGGGACAACAUUUGGAAACGAAUGCUAAUACCGCAUAAAAACUUUAAACACAAGUUUUAAGUUUGAAAGAUGCAAUUGCAUCACUCAAAGAUGAUCCCGCGUUGUAUUAGCUAGUUGGUGAGGUAAAGGCUCACCAAGGCGAUGAUACGUAGCCGACCUGAGAGGGUGAUCGGCCACAUUGGGACUGAGACACGGCCCAAACUCCUACGGGAGGCAGCAGUAGGGAAUCUUCGGCAAUGGACGAAAGUCUGACCGAGCAACGCCGCGUGAGUGAAGAAGGUUUUCGGAUCGUAAAACUCUGUUGGUAGAGAAGAACGUUGGUGAGAGUGGAAAGCUCAUCAAGUGACGGUAACUACCCAGAAAGGGACGGCUAGCUACGUG
rnacentral:rRNA from 1 species